CGGAGCAGGCGUGGGGGCCCCCCUCGGAUCAGGAGCCGGCCUCAACUUUACAGUCCUUAUAUACCCCGCCAAGCAUCCCAAACACGCGGCCGGGCCAAGUGGCCCCUCGGGCUGUGCUCCCUGACCAUAUUUAGUCAAGCAGGGAAAAAAUAGCCUGUCAGCUGGGCCGAGGCUGGCCGGCCACCGGGAACAGGGUGGGAGCGCCAGCGCCAUUGACGGCCGGUCCUGGGCCCAGGCUGUCGUCCGCUGCCCCCUCCGGGCCCCUCCCCACGGGCCUCCCACCGGCUGUCCCUGCCCUGCCGUCCCCCUGCUAUUUUUAGCCCAGCCCGGUACACAGGCGCCUCCCAGCAGCCGGGCAGCAACCUCUCAGGCCUCCCAGAGCCCCACUGGGGGACCCCCGCUUUGCCCUUUUGCCCAGAUUCGGGGCCCAGAUCAGGGGGUGAUGAUUUGGUUUCUGGGGGCCCCCGUGCCAGCCCGGAGUAACGGCGAUGCAGGUCACCUUGGACAGCGAGCCAGUCCCUGUGCUUGCCACACUCUACCUAGUCCUGCAGCCAGGGGUACGCGUGAGGGGGAGACCCCGAGUCCACGUGCUGGUUCCACUCGGAGCGCCCCCAUCCUAGGUUCACGCUUGAAUGACGUCAUGGGCGUGUGCCGGGCACGGCCUGCAGGGGCCUGUCCUUGCAGGGCCUGGAUGUGGAGGCCAAAUGUUCCCCACAACUGUGAGCUAGGAAGGUCUCCUCGCCUCUCUGGGGUCCCCUAGGACGUGGGCUAGGACGUGGGGUGGACCCCCUUCCCUGAAGGCCAGGCGUGGGGCCCACACGGGGUGGGAGGCAGCCAGCUUCACUGUGUCAAGUCCUGUCCAGAGUAUAGGCAGCCAGAAGCCCUGUUGUUCGGGAAAGCCACUCACAAACCUCGGCACCGCCGUGCCUACAGGCCUGGCCCAGCCUGCUGUGGGACAGGCGUCCAUGCUCUCGGAUCAAGCUCCCCGUGCCUGGUCCCCCCAUGACGCCCCAGCUCAGGCCCCGGAGGUGCAGGGUCCAAGCCUUGGGUCACGGGGUAUGCUAGGGGGACUCUCUGUGGAUCGCCCCCUGGGAUCCGGCCCACCCCCCACACAGGAGAGGGAAGGAUGGAAGCACAGGAAGCAGGGCCCGAGCAGGCCCAGGAGAGCGGGGAGCGAAGUGGAGGGUCCUCUGCACCUGCUGGAGCUCCAGGUGCUUCCUGGAGAAGGCCCUGGAACAAGACCACGGCUGUGGGAGGAGCAGGGCUAGUGCUCUCGGUAAGCUCUGAGUGGCCGGGACGCUGACCAGGGGUCAGGGCUGCUCCCAGGCCACAGGCCCAGCCAAGGGGCCCUCCAUUCACCCCAGGGAGGCGGGAACCCUGGGAUGUUUCAAGCUGCCCUCUGUCCAAGCACUUUUCUGGAAACCAAAUAGCCACUUGGCCUCCAGCUGACACUGGGAGAGCAACUCAUGUGAGGGCAGCAUCCAAACUCCCUCUGCACGUGCCCCAUCCCCUGUGCCCGCUACAGCCCCCAGCCCCUGUGCCCCCUGCAGUCCCCAGCCCCC
ensembl:lncRNA